rnacentral:rRNA from 3 species
AGCAUGGGAUGAGCUGUGGAUAGCGGAGAAAUUCCAAUCGAACUCGGAGAUAGCUGGUUCUCCUCGAAAUAGCUUUAGGGCUAGCGUCGGAUAUGAGUAAUGGAGGUAGAGCACUGAAUGGGCUAGGGGGCGUAUCGCUUACCGAACCUUAUCAAACUCCGAAUGCCAUAUACUAUGAGUCCGGCAGUCAGACUACGAAUGAUAAGAUCCGUGGUCAAAAGGGAAAAAGCCCAGAUCGUCAGCUAAGGUCCCAAAGUGUAAGUUAAGUGGUAAAGGAUGUGGGAUUUCUAAGACAACUAGGAUGUUGGCUUAGAAGCAGCCACUCAUUUAAAGAGUGCGUAAUAGCUCACUAGUCGAGAGAUCCUGCGCCGAAAAUGUCCGGGGCUCAAACUUACCACCGAAGCUACGGGCUCAAGUUUACUUGAGCGGUAGAGGAGCGUCGUAAUCGGGCUGAAGUCGUACCGUAAGGAGCGGUGGACUGAUUACGAGUGAGAAUGUUGGCAUUAGUAGCGAGAUGUAAGUGAGAAUCUUACAGGCCGAAAAUCUAAGGUUUCCUGGGGAAGGCUCGUCCGCCCAGGGUUAGUCGGGACCUAAGCCGAGGCCGAAAGGCGUAGGUGAUGGACAAUUGGUUGAUAUUCCAAUACCACUAUUAUCGUUAUUAUCGAUGGUGUGACGGAGAAGGAUAGGAUGUGCUAGCGAUUGGAAAUGCUAGUCUAAGCAUUUAGGGAGUUAAAGUAGGCAAAUCCGCUUUAACAAUUCUGAGGUGUGAUGGGGAAGGUCAUUUUGACUGAAGUAUCUGAUUCCAUGCUUCCAAGAAAAGCAUCUAGAGAGAGAAGUAGUGCCCGUACCGCAAACCGACACAGGUAGAUGAGGAGAGAAUCCUAAGGCCAUCGGAAGAAUUGCAGUUAAGGAACUAGGCAAAUUGACCCCGUAAGUUCGCGAGAAGGGGUGCCUGUGAGAGCAGGCCGCAGAGAAUAGGCCCAAGCAACUGUUUAGCAAAAACACAGGUCUCUGCUAAAGCGUAAGCUGAUGUAUAGGGGCUGACGCCUGCCCGGUGCUGG